GUGUUUUGUAAGUCAGAGGAAAUGUAAAAUAUUCACGUUGUCUCCGCAGGCACCAGAGUCAGACUCAUUGCUAACAUGAGGACCUCGUCUGCCAUCUUGCUGCUUGCAGUACUAGCCGCGUUCCUAGCCAUGAUCACUGCAGCGGAGGACAGAAACGACGAGAUGCGUAGUGGAGACGCACAAGGCACCGGAUGCCCUGACCUCGCUGCCUGCACCCGAAGCUGCCAUGUCAAAGGAUUUGCUGCAGGCGCAUGCGUUGGAGCUCGCCUAAUCAUAUGUUUGUGCACCUAAUUUUGA